UUUUUUGUAUCUGGGGUUUAAUCAUUAAUUUAAUAAUUUAUUAAUCAUUUAUUUGUGUAUCGCUCUUUUGCAGGGAGCCUCUAUUGUGUUUGUGUGUGGGAACAGUAACGCCUCCAGCAAUUCGUCUGGAUUCAUCUUCCUGACCGCCAGCAACUCCGCAAACGGCCUGAACCUCAACACAUCUGUGAACACUGUAAACAGUAUCCAGGGUAUUGUGGUAAACAACCAAACCGUGAACAAGACCUACAUCCAGUGUGUCUUCAGCACCUCCGUCAACCUGACCACCAACUCCACCUCCACCUCCACCAAGAGUUCAUCCAGCAGCUAUUACGUCUCCAUCUUCAGCGGAGUUAUGAACGGUGACACACCAGGUUCCCCCAAUACACAGUUCAACUCCACCACACUGCUGGACCUGACCGAUCCUAAAGCAAACACUGCCAACAGCACCAGCAGCGCCACCACUGCCCCCAGCGCCGUCACCGCGGGCAGCGACUCUCUGUUCAGCCCCGUCGCUCGCGCUCUGUCCAUCCUGCUCAGCGCCGUUGGCCUUCUUCUCCUGUACUAAAGGACCAGCCUCUCAAAUCCCGUCUUAUCUCCAGCACAUCUCUCAGGGUUAAUGAGCACUGUGUACAGCAGGGUUCCUGCAGGCCAGCCUGUGUGUGUGUGUGAGAGUGUGUGUGAGAGUGUGUGUGAGUGUGAGCACAUGAACUGGAGACAUGUUAUGAAGCCGGCGCUGAUUGGUCGAGCAUGUUGUCCCUCCUGUCCUCCUCAGCGUGGUCUGUUUAUUCCUCUGGUCUCUCAGAAAGGGCUCUGAACUCCAGCUCUUCGCUUUUACAUUCUGCUGCUUUGCGUCGGCGUGGAGCGCACGCGAGUUAGUGGCGUGUGCCGACGCCUGUGGUGUAAAUGCUAUUUUUUAAACGAUUAUCCGAUUUCCCACUAGUUUAUAUAUAUAUAAAAAUAUAAAUAUCUAUAAUUAUAAUGACGUUAUUUUACACACUGUUUUUUCACCUGUAAUGUUUUUGAUCAGGAAGAUAAUAUUGCUGAUUAAAGUUUAUUUUACAUAAUAUACUCUCCGUUGUUUGUGAGUCGGUCAUUUGUGCAACACGUAGCACACGUACACACACUAAGAAAAAUAAUAUAUAAGUACAGAUUUGUACUUAAAAGAGUAUAAAGCUUGUCGCUGGGGCUGUACCUUAUAUUGAGAUACAAAAAAGUACCUUUCAGUAAAAGAAAAAAAAACUUUUUUGUACCCAUGUUUUUUGUGACAGUAAAGAUUAAAAAGAUUAUAAACAUUAUUUUUCAUCAAAAGACUUGACCUGUAAAGACCUGUAAAGACCAAUAUUAUACUUUUUUUUGAGGGUACAAUUAUGAUGAGAGUACCUUUGAGUACAAAAAAAACUCAGAGUCUGCAGCACGACACACCUACACCUAUGAUGACCUACCUCACAUGUAAAAGCCUACAAGGAAACGGGUUUAAACCAACGCAAAAAUGCAAAUUAUAUUUAUAUGUUUUCAGAUAAUCAAACAAACUAUUAUAUUAGACAAACGUAACCUCAAGUAAAAUC
rnacentral:lncRNA from 1 species